CGUGUAGGCGGUUAGGCAAGUCAGAUGUGAAAUCCCUUGGCUCAACCAAGGAAGUGCAUUUGAAACUGCUUAACUAGAGUACAGGAGGGGAAAGUGGAAUUCCCAGUGUAGAGGUGAAAUUCAUAGAUAUUGGGAGGAACACCGGUAGCGAAGGCGGCUUUCUGGCCUGAUACUGACGCUGAGACGCGAAAGCGUGGGGAGCAAACA
rnacentral:rRNA from 1 species